rnacentral:rRNA from 1 species
GACGAACCGUGCGAACGUUAUUCGGAAUCACUGGGCUUAAAGCGCGUGUAGGCGGGCCGCCACGUCGGCUGCUGAAAUCCCUCGGCCCAACCGAGGAACUGCGCCCGAGACUGCUUCUCUUGAGUCCCGGAGAGGAAGAUGGAAUUCCCGGUGUAGCGGUGAAAUGUGUAGAGAUCGGGAGGAACACCGGUGGCGAAGGCGGUCUUCUGGACGGUGACUGACGCUGAGGCGCGAAAGCGUGGGGAGCAAACGGG